UGCGGGGUAGUGUAAUGGUAGCACAUCAGGCUCUGAACCUGAAAAUCGGGGUCCGAAUCCCUGCCCCGCAG
rnacentral:tRNA from 6 species